UUUCAAGUUAAGGGGGCGUGUUUUUUCUUUCGUCGAUAUCUGACGGUGAGGCAUUAACAUGAAUGUCUAUCUGACGGACCCCCUCGUCGAAAAAUAACGCGGGUACCCCCCUGGCGUUGAAAAUUAACGCCAGGGUUCCUUGACCAUGCGUCAGACAUUUGACGAGUAGGGAGUGAGACUGUGUUGAUAGUUCCUACACACACACACACACACACACACACACACACA